GGUGGUAUCGUCUAACGGUUAGGACGCAAGAUUCUCAAUCUUGUAAUCUGGGUUCGAUUCCCAGUAUCACUACCA
rnacentral:tRNA from 3 species